rnacentral:rRNA from 2 species
GCUUCAGCAAUGAAGAGUGGCAGACGGGUGAGUAACGCGUGGGAACCUUCCAGUGGUACGGAAUAGCCCAGGGAAACUUGGGGUAAUACCGUAUAAGCCCUUAGGGGGAAAGAUUUAUCGCCAUUGGAUGGGCCCGCGUCGGAUUAGCUUGUUGGUGAGGUAAAAGCUUACCAAGGCGACGAUCCGUAGCUGGUCUGAGAGGAUGAUCAGCCACACUGGGACUGAGACACGGCCCAGACUCCUACGGGAGGCAGCAGUGGGGAAUAUUGGACAAUGGGCGCAAGCCUGAUCCAGCCAUGCCGCGUGAGUGACGAAGGCCCUAGGGUUGUAAAGCUCUUUUGGCGGGGACGAUAAUGACGGUACCCGCAGAAUAAGCUCCGGCUAACUUCGUGCCAGCAGCCGCGGUAAUACGAAGGGAGCUAGCGUUGUUCGGAAUCACUGGGCGUAAAGCGCACGUAGGCGGAUUGUUUAGUCGGGGGUGAAAUCCCGGGGCUCAACCCCGGAACUGCCUCCGAUACUAG